UCUCUUUUUCUCUCCUUUUUUUCCUUCACUCAUUUUGUUUUCGCGUCCCACCCAACAACAAAAAAGGAAACAACUUUUGAAAAGAGAAGAACAAAAACACAAGUAAAAUAGAUGAAAGGUCUCUUUUUCUCAAAAUUUUCAAAAAAAAAGAGAGGAUACAAAAAAA
rnacentral:ribozyme from 13 species